AGAGUUUGAUCCUGGCUCAGGAUGAACGCUGGCGGCGUGCCUAACACAUGCAAGUCGAGCGAUCUUCUUCGGAAGAGAGCGGCGGACGGGUGAGUAACGCGUGGGUAACCUGCCCUGUACACACGGAUAACAUACCGAAAGGUAUGCUAAUACGAGAUAAUAUGCUUUUGUCGCAUGGUAGAAGUAUCAAAGCUCCGGCGGUACAGGAUGGACCCGCGUCUGAUUAGCUAGUUGGUAAGGUAACGGCUUACCAAGGCGACGAUCAGUAGCCGACCUGAGAGGGUGAUCGGCCACAUUGGAACUGAGACACGGUCCAAACUCCUACGGGAGGCAGCAGUGGGGAAUAUUGCACAAUGGGCGAAAGCCUGAUGCAGCAACGCCGCGUGAGCGAUGAAGGCCUUCGGGUCGUAAAGCUCUGUCCUCAAGGAAGAUAAUGACGGUACUUGAGGAGGAAGCCCCGGCUAACUACGUG
rnacentral:rRNA from 1 species